rnacentral:lncRNA from 1 species
UUUAAAGAAAAAGGAAGGCAAAGAAAUGAGCUAUAGGAAGUCGUGAGCCUUCUCUACAAACUUUUCUGAAAAAAGACAGUUUCAGACCACGUCACGGUGUCCUGAGUCGUAGCUGACUGAGCGCCCUUACUUCCACGUGGCCAGAACGGACGGAGGCAACCGUCGUGGGUGAGAAGUUCUUGUCAUUUGUGAUCCUUUAUUGUUAAUUCUCGUCGUGUAUUUGGCCUGCCGCUUUGUUUUGGUUGUCAGAGUUUGUUACCGAGACAAGAGUCCGAUCAUCCUGUUCCGACAGCCGCAGAUUGAGUUGGCAUGAAACACCAUGAGUAUUAUUUUCUGUAGCUCCUGCUACAUGCUGAUUUACCGUGGAGCUGAGAUUUUAGCUUCAGCAUCCUCAACUUGACGGACCCUCCCCAGACUCUGAAACCAGGAGGAAGCAGC